UUUUCCGGGUGCGCCUUCUAAAGUCAUCUUCCUUAAAGUUCGAGACAAAAGCGUAUUUUGCAGUUCAGACAGAGCUACAAGAACUUUCUGGGCCACGAAAUGUCAGACAAAACUAUAAAGCUUGCUUUGGUGAGCGCGCUGGAGGACAUAUCAAAGGAAGACUUUGAGAAGUUCUGCCACCAGCUUCUGGACCGCAGGGAAGCGCCACGCGUCAAGCGCAACAGGGUGGAAAAUAAAAGCCGCCUGCAGAUCGCAGACGUGCUGGUGUCCCACUUUACCGAGGAGGGGGCUCUUGGGGUGACUGUGGACCUGCUGAAAGCGAUUGGAUGUAGCAACGAGGCGGAAACACUCGUCACAGAAGCCGGUGGAGGAAAUUAGACAUCUCACCUGGACAGUGAAAGACUUCACAGCAGCUGGAAAACUGUGUGAAAGGCUCUAGUAUUCACACACAAGCUCCAACUACAGAUUUAUUUCAAAACAAUUGACUUUAUAACUGUUGUGUCAUUAAAUUUUAAUCCUAAAGAAUUUCAUAAAAUAAAUAAAAUAAUUUCAGAGAAACUAAAAAGAUUUCAUUGCGGUUCAACAGGUCCUCCUUUUAGUCAUAGCUCAAUGUUUUCAGUUUUUAUUGUUGCCAAAACUGGAUCGUCCAUCUGUUCAGAGGUAGCCUAUCAUAACAUUCUACACUCUUAUCAAGAAUGCAGACUUGGAAGCUUUCCCAAACCCUGCUUUGAGCCAAUAUACACUUCAAAAUCCACAGUGGACUACCUCAGAGGUUUUAAGUUGAAGGUUUAACCUUGUCUCUCACUUCCCUGAGCAUAACAUUGUAGAAAAUCUGUUCCAAACAAAGCCACACGCAAGAUGGACUGAGAAUCAGAAACAGAAGAACGCAGAAGGAAGAAAUCCACAAAACAAGAACUAAAAGAGACUCAACUGCUAUAAAAAGGCUUUACAUUGCUGUCAUACUAAAGUGGUGCUUGCAAGAACUGUGGGGUCCCUAAACAUCUACUUUGAGCCCUUUUUAUUAUUUUAAAACUGUAAAAGAUGGAAAUAAAGUAUUCUUGCUCAGAA